rnacentral:rRNA from 1 species
UACGUAGGGGCAAGCGUUGUUCGGAAUUACUGGGCGUAAAGGGCUCGUAGGCGGCCAACUAAGUCGGAUGUGAAAUCCCCAGGCUUAACCUGGGAACUGCAUCCGAUACUGGAUGGCUUGAAUUCGGGAGAGGGAUGCAGAAUUCCAGGUGUAGCGGUGAAAUGACGUAGAUAUCUGGAGGAAUACCGGUGGCGAAGGCGGCAUCCUGGACCGACAUUGACGCUGAGGAGCGAAAGCUAAGGGGAGCAAACGGG